CACGGGGGGAGCAAGCGUUGUUCGGAAUCACUGGGCGUAAAGGGCGUGUAGGCGGUCAGGUAAGUGGGACGUGAAAUCCCUCGGCUUAACCGGGGAACUGCGCCUGAUACUGGUUGGCUUGAGUUUGGGAGAGGGACGCGGAAUUCCAGGUGUAGCGGUGAAAUGCGUAGAUAUCUGGAGGAACACCGGUGGCGAAGGCGGCGUCCUGGACCAAUACUGACACUGAGGAGCGAAAGCCAGGGGAGCAAACGGG
rnacentral:rRNA from 1 species